rnacentral:rRNA from 1 species
CCUACGGGAGGCAGCAGUGAGGAAUAUUGGUCAAUGGACGAGAGUCUGAACCAGCCAAGUAGCGUGAAGGAUGACUGCACUAUGGGUUGUACACUUCUUUUAUAAAGGAAUAAAACGAGGCACGUGUGCCUUUUUGCAUGGACGUUAUGAAUAAGGAUAGGCUACUUCCGUACCAGCAGCCGCGGUAAUACGGAGGAUCCGAGCGUUAUCCGGAUUUCUGUGUUUUAAAGGUAGCGUAGUUGGGUUGUUAAGUAAGUUGUGAAAGUUUGCUGCUCAACCGUAAAAUUGCAAUUAAUCCGGGCAGUCUUGAGUACAGUUGAGGUAGGCGGAAUUCGUGGUGUAGCGGUGAAAUGCUUAGAUAUCACGAAGAACCCCGAUUGCGAAGGCAGCUUACUAAACUGUGACUGACAUUGAUGCUCGAAAGUGUGGGUAUCAAACAGGAUUAGAUACCCCAGUAGUC